rnacentral:rRNA from 1 species
AUUGAACGCUGGCGGCAGGCCUAACACAUGCAAGUCGAACGGGUGGCGGACGGGUGAGUAAUGUCGGGAAAACUGCCUGAUGGAGGGGUAUAACUACUGUAAACGGUAGCUAAUACCGCAUACCAUCGGAUGUGCCCAGAGGGCAUUAGCUAGUAGGUGUGGUAACGGCUCACCUAGGCGACGAUCCCUAGCUGGUCUGAGAGGAUGACCAGCCACACUGGAACUGAGACACGGUCCAGACUCCUACGGGAGGCAGCAGUGGGGAAUAUUGCGCAAUGGGCGAAAGCCUGAUGCAGCCACGCCGCGUGUAUGAAGAAGGCCUUCGGGUUGUAAAGUACUUUCAGCAGGGAGGCGGUACCCAAAGAAGAAGCCCCGGCUAACUCCGUGCCAGCAGCCGCGGUAAUAC